rnacentral:lncRNA from 1 species
UUUUCUUUACCUAGUGUUGUUGUGUCUCUUUUGCAGAACUAUACUAAUGUGUUUCUCGAGGAGCUACCAUAAGAUUUACCACCUAUUUGGGGAAUAGAACAUCAGAUUGAUUUAGUACCCGAUACUACCAUUCCUAAUUGACCAGUUUAUAGGAGCAAUCUAAAUGAGACAAAAGAAUUAUAAAGACAGGUUGAUGAAUUAAUGGAGUUCAAUCUUAUAAGUUUAGCUUAGGUCCAUCAAUUGAUCUCUCAUAAAGCCAUAAGAUGAAUCUAGAUGGGGCCUUGCAUUAGGCUAAAAAUUCCUUUUAACACUCUAAGAGGUCAACUCUUGAGCAGGGUGAAGAACAAACAAGAGAAGAUCAGGUUAGGCAAAAGGGC